rnacentral:rRNA from 1 species
GAAGACCUACGGGGGGCAGCAGUAGGGAAUUUUCGGCAAUGGGGGGAACCCUGACCGAGCAACGCCGCGUGAAGGAAGAAGGAAUUCGUUCUGUAAACUUCUGUUAUAAAGGAAGAAAGACGGAUGGAGGAAAUGACAUCCGAGUGACGGUACUUUAUGAGAAAGCCACGGCUAACUACGUGCCAGCAGCCGCGUUCAUACGUAUGUGGCAAGCGUUAUCCGGCAUUAUUUGGCGUACA